rnacentral:rRNA from 1 species
GAUGAACGCUGGCGGCGUGCCUAAUACAUGCAAGUCGAGCGCGAAGAUCAGGAGCUUGCUCCUGAGAUUUGAGCGGCGGACGGGUGAGUAACACGUGGGCAACCUACCCUUGAGAUAGGGAUAACUACCGGAAACGGUAGCUAAUACCGGAUACGACUUUUCCACACAAGUGGAACUGUUAAAAGGCGGAUUUAUCUGCCGCUCAUGGAUGGGCCUGCGGUGCAUUAGCUAGUUGGUGAGAUAGUAGCUCACCAAGGCGACGAUGCAUAGCCGACCUGAUAGGGUGCUCGGCCACACUGGGACUGAGACACGGCCCAGACUCCUACGGGAGGCAGCAGUAGGGAAUCUUCCGCAAUGGACGAAAGUCUGACGGAGCAACGCCGCGUGAGUGAUGAAGGGUUUCGGCUCGUAAAACUCUGUUGUUAAGGAAGAACACUUGAGGUAGUAACUGGCCUUGAGAUGACGGUACUUAACCAGAAAGCCACGGCUAACUACGUGCCAGCAGCCGCAGUAA